CAGCCGGGUGGGAGGGGGACUUCGUGCCUGGAGUGCGCCAGUGAAGGCAGGAGGAGGGUUAUGAGCUGCCCCGCUCCUGUGUGGCUGGGGAGGGUAUUCAGGAGGGGAUGGGAUGGGCCUGGCUCCAGCCCCUCUCUGUUGACCCUCCCCACCCCGGCCUGACCUGUAGUUUGACCCUGAGCUGGUGCUGGUCUCGGCAGGAUUUGACUCAGCCAUCGGGGACCCUGAGGUGAGGGCCUUGCCUGGCCAGGGAGGGCUUCUGGGGUCCUGGGGCCCAGGUCCCCCAUCACACAUGGCUCUGGUUCCAGGGGCAAAUGCAGGCCACGCCAGAGUGCUUCGCCCACCUCACACAGCUGCUGCAGGUGCUGGCCGGCGGCCGGGUCUGCGCCGUGCUGGAGGGCGGCUACCACCUGGAGUCACUGGCGGAGUCAGUGUGCAUGACAGUACAGACGCUGUUGGGUGACCCGGCUCCACCCCUGUCAGGGUCAAUGGUGCCAUGUCAGAGGUGCGAGGGGAGGUAGGGCAGGCGGGGCUGGGGUGUGAGGCCAGGUGUCACGACUGUUGUGUCUCCCCCACAGUGCCCUGGAGUCCAUCCAGAGUGCCCGUGCUGCCCAGGCCCCGCACUGGAAGAGCCUCCAGCUGCAAGGUCAGUGUGGCCGGGUGCUAGGCUGCAGGAUCCCACCUCGGGCUCCCGUGCAGUGGCUAUGACUCCGAACUGUCCCUAGAUGUGACCCCUGUGCUGAUGAGCCCCAGCAUUCUCUCCCCAGAGGAGAGGCCUCCACCUCUGCUGCCUGGGGGUCCAGUGUGUAAGGGAGCUGCAUCUGCACCGAGCUCCCUCCUGGACCAGCCGUGCCUCUGCCCUGCACCCUCUGUCCGCACCGCUGUUGCCCUGACAGCACCAGAUAUCACAUUGGUCCUGCCCCCUGACGUCAUCCAACAGGAAGGGUCAGCCCUAAGGGAGGAGACAGAAGCCUGGGCCAGGCCACACGAGUCCCUGGCCCGGGAGGAGGCCCUCGCUGCACUUGGGAAGCUCCUGUACCUCUUAGAUGGGAUGCUGGAUGG
rnacentral:sRNA from 1 species